rnacentral:rRNA from 1 species
AGAACGAACGCUGGCGGCAUGCCUAACACAUGCAAGUCGAACGCUUUUGGGGCUUCGGUCCCAAAGGAGUGGCGCACGGGUGAGUAGCGCGUGGGAACCUGCCCUGGAGUGGGGGGAUAACCGAGGGAAACUUCGGCUAAUACCGCAUACGCCGGGAAACCGGGAAAGAUUUAUCGCUCUAGGAGGGGCCCGCGUCGGAUUAGGUAGUUGGUGGGGUAACGGCCUACCAAGCCUGUGAUCCGUAGCUGGUCUGAGAGGAUGAUCAGCCACACUGGGACUGAGACACGGCCCAGACUCCUACGGGAGGCAGCAGUGGGGAAUAUUGGACAAUGGGGGCAACCCUGAUCCAGCAAUGCCGCGUGAGUGAUGAAGGCCUUAGGGUUGUAAAGCUCUUUCGCCCGCGACGAUGAUGACGGUAGCGGGAGAAGAAGCCCCGGCUAACUUCGUGCCAGCAGCCGC